CAGUAGCCACGGGAAUACGAAGGGUGCAAGCGUUACUCGGAAUUACUGGGCGUAAAGCGUGCGUAGGUGGUGGUUUAAGUCCGUUGUGAAAGCCCUGGGCUCAACCUGGGAAUUGCAGUGGAUACUGGGUCACUAGAGUGUGGUAGAGGAUAGUGGAAUUUCCGGUGUAGCAGUGAAAUGCGUAGAGAUCGGAAGGAACAUCUGUGGCGAAGGCGACUAUCUGGGCCAACACUGACACUGAGGCACGAAAGCGUGGGGAGCAAACAGGAUUAGAGACCCCGGUAGUCCCUGUCUCUUAUAA
rnacentral:rRNA from 1 species